rnacentral:rRNA from 1 species
UAAUACGAACCGUCCAAACGUUAUUCGGAAUUAUUGGGCUUAAAGGGUAUGUAGGCGGCGCUGUUAGUCGGGUGUGAAAUCCCUCGGCUCAACCGAGGAAUUGCGCCCGAUACUGCAGUGCUUGAGGGAGACAGAGGUAAGCGGAACUGAUGGUGGAGCGGUGAAAUGCGUUGAUAUCAUCAGGAACACCGGUGGCGAAAGCGGCUUACUGGGUCUCUUCUGACGCUGAGAUACGAAAGCUAGGGGAGCGAAGGGGAUUAGAUACCCCCGUAGUCCUAGCUGUAAACGUUGAGCACUUGGUCGGGGAUCCCCUCAUAGGUUCUCGGCCGUAGCGAAAGUGUCAAGUGCUCCGCCUGGGGAGUAUGGUCGCAAGGCUG